CACACUCUGGCUGGAAUCCGGUGGAUACAGCAGUGUUACAGGUACAGUACGUGAUAUUAAGGGCAGGCGGUCAUCACUGGGGGAAGACAAGAAGCAGACGUACUUCCAAGAGGGAGCUGCAGUGAGGACAAAGCCAGGUCACUGAGGUCAGAGGAGGCACUGAAAGGUUUCCCUAAUAGUUCCUGGUGAAUCAAAGCAGGACCAUAAAGGUUGCUGGACUACAUGAUGGCCUUA